rnacentral:rRNA from 1 species
CCUACGGGAGGCAGCAGUGAGGAAUAUUGGUCAAUGGACGAGAGUCUGAACCAGCCAAGUAGCGUGAAGGAUGACUGCCCUAUGGGUUGUAAACUUCUUUUAUAUGGGAAUAAAACGUUCCACGUGUGGGCUUUUGUAUGUACCAUAUGAAUAAGGAUCGGCUAACUCCGUGUCAGCAGCCGCGGUAAUACGGAGGAUCCGAGCGUUAUCCGGAUUUUUUGGGUUUAAAAGGAGCGUAGGUGGAUUGUUAAGUCAGUCGUGAAAGUUUGCGGUUCAACCGUAAAAUUGCAGUUGAAACUGGCGGUCUUGAGUACAGUAGAGGUGGGCGGAAUGCGUGGUGUAGCGGUGAAAUGCUUAGAUAUCACGAAGAACUCCGAUUGCGAAGGCAGCAUACCGGCGCCCUACUGACGCUGAGGCACGAAAGCGUGGGUAUCGAACAGGAUUAGAUACCCUGGUAGUC